GACGAACGCUGGCGGCGUGCCUAAUACAUGCAAGUAGAACGCUGAAGAGAGGAGCUUGCUCUUCUUGGAUGAGUUGCGAACGGGUGAGUAACGCGUAGGUAACCUGCCUUGUAGCGGGGGAUAACUAUUGGAAACGAUAGCUAAUACCGCAUAACAAUGGAUGACACAUGUCAUUUAUUUGAAAGGGGCAAUUGCUCCACUACAAGAUGGACCUGCGUUGUAUUAGCUAGUAGGUGAGGUAAUGGCUCACCUAGGCGACGAUACAUAGCCGACCUGAGAGGGGGAUCGGCCACACUGGGACUGAGACAAGGCCCAGACUCCUACGGGAGGCAGCAGUAGGGAAUCUUCGGCAAUGGGGGCAACCCUGACCGAGCAACGCCGCGUGAGGGAAGAAGGGUUUCGGAUCGUAAAGCUCUGUUGUAAGUCAAGAACGGGUGUGAGAGUGGAAAGUUCACACUGUGACGGUAGCUUACCAGAAAGGGACGGCUAACUACGUG
rnacentral:rRNA from 1 species